rnacentral:rRNA from 1 species
UGAACGCUAGCUACAGGCUUAACACAUGCAAGUCGAGGGGCAUCAGUUUGGUUUGCUUGCAAACCAAAGCUGGCGACCGGCGCACGGGUGAGUAACACGUAUCCAACCUGCCUCAUACUCGGGGAUAGCCUUUCGAAAGAAAGAUUAAUAUCCGAUAGCAUAUAUUUCCCGCAUGGGUUUUAUAUUAAAGAAAUUCGGUAUGAGAUGGGGAUGCGUUCCAUUAGUUUGUUGGGGGGGUAACGGCCCACCAAGACUACGAUGGAUAGGGGUUCUGAGAGGAAGGUCCCCCACAUUGGAACUGAGACACGGUCCAAACUCCUACGGGAGGCAGCAGUGAGGAAUAUUGGUCAAUGGACGCGAGUCUGAACCAGCCAAGUAGCGUGAAGGAUGACUGCCCUAUGGGUUGUAAACUUCUUUUAUAUGGGAAUAAAGUUGUCCACGUGUGGAUUUUUGUAUGUACCAUAUGAAUAAGGAUCGGCUAACUCCGUGCCAGCAGCCGCGGUAAUACGGAGGAUCCGAGCGUUAUCCGGGUUUAUUGGGUUUAAAGGGAGCGUAGGUGGACAGUUAAGUCAGUUGUGAAAGUUUGCGGCUCAACCGUAAAAUUGCAGUUGAUACUGGCUGUCUUGAGUACAGUAGAGGUGGGCGGAAUUCGUGGUGUAGCG